AACGGGUGCGUAACACGUAUGCAACCUACCCUUCACAGGAGGACAGCCCCGAGAAAUCGGGAUUAAUACUCCAUAACAUCACGGAUUCGCAUGUUUCCGUGAUCAAAGUUCCGGCGGUGAAGGAUGGGCAUGCGGCCUAUUAGUUUGUUGGUGAGGUAACGGCUCACCAAGACUACGAUAGGUAGGGGGUCUGAGAGGAUGAUCCCCCACACUGGUACUGAGACACGGACCAGACUCCUACGGGAGGCAGCAGUGAGGAAUAUUGGUCAAUGGACGAAAGUCUGAACCAGCCAUGCCGCGUGCAGGAAGACUGCCCUACGGGUUGUAAACUGCUUUUAUGUGGGAAUAAACCCCUGGAUUCUUCCGGGGCUGAAGGUACCACACGAAUAAGGAUCGGCUAACUCCGUGCCAGCAGCCGCGGUAAUACGGAGGAUCCAAGCGUUAUCCGGAUUUAUUGGGUUUAAAGGGUCCGUAGGCGGGAUAUUAAGUCAGUGGUGAAAGCCUUCAGCUUAACUGGAGAAUUGCCAUUGAUACUGAUGUUCUUGAGUACACCUGAAGUGGGCGGAAUGUGUCAUGUAGCGGUGAAAUGCAUAGAUAUGACACAGAACACCGAUUGCGAAGGCAGCUCACUAAAGUGUAACUGACGCUGAGGGACGAAAGCGUGGGGAGCGAACAGGAUUAGAUACCCUGGUAGUCCACGCCGUAAACGAUGAUCACUCGAUAUUGG
rnacentral:rRNA from 1 species